UUUAACGUUAUUUUACUUAUUCCGUGGGUCGGAAGCGGGGCAUGUCCCCUUCUUUUGGCUCCAAGGCCCGGUUUUAUCUGGCCGAUCUGGGCAGAAGACAUUGUGUGUGGCAUGGAUGGAUGGACGUACGGGCGGCACAUCUUUUAAAAGAUAAAGAAGGUGUCCUAAGAUGAGCUCAAGGAGAACAGAAAUCUCGUGUGGAACAAAAGG
rnacentral:ncRNA from 1 species